rnacentral:rRNA from 1 species
CUACGUGCCAGCAGCCGCGGUAAUACGUAGGUGGCAAGCGUUGUCCGGAUUUAUUGGGCGUAAAGCGAGCGCAGGCGGUUUUUUAAGUCUGAUGUGAAAGCGUUCGGCUCAACCGAAGAAGUGCAUCGGAAACUGGGAAACUUGAGUGCAGAAGAGGACAGUGGAACUCCAUGUGUAGCGGUGAAAUGCGUAGAUAUAUGGAAGAACACCAGUGGCGAAGGCGGCUGUCUGGUCUGUAACUGACGCUGAGGCUCGAAAGUAUGGGUAGCAAACAGGAUUAGAUACCCUGGUAGUCCAUACCGUAAACGAUGAAUGCUAAGUGUUGGAGGGUUUCCGCCCUUCAGUGCUGCAGCUAACGCAUUAAGCAUUCCGCCUGGGGAGUACGGCCGCAAGGCUGAAACUCAAAGGAAUUGACGGGGGCCCGCACAAGCGGUGGAGCAUGUGGUUUAAUUCGAAGCUACGCGAAGAACCUUACCAGGUCUUGACAUACUAUGCAAAUCUAAGAGAUUAGACGUUCCCUUCGGGGACAUGGAUACAGGUGGUGCAUGGUUGUCGUCAGCUCGUGUCGUGAGAUGUUGGGUUAAGUCCCGCAACGAGCGCAACCCUUAUUAUCAGUUGCCAGCAUUAAGUUGGGCACUCUGGUGAGACUGCCGGUGACAAACCGGAGGAAGGUGGGGAUGACGUCAAAUCAUCAUGCCCCUUAUGACCUGGGCUACACACGUGCUACAAUGGAUGGUACAACGAGUUGCGAACUCGCGAGAGUAAGCUAAUCUCUUAAAGCCAUUCUCAGUUCGGAUUGUAGGCUGCAACUCGCCUACAUGAAGUCGGAAUCGCUAGUAAUCGCGGAUCAGCAUGCCGCGGUGAAUACGUUCCCGGGCCUUGUACACACCGCCCGUCACACCAUGAGAGUUUGUAACACCCAAAGUCGGUGGGGUAACCUUUUAGGAACCAGCCGCCUAAGGUGACAGAUGG